CAGUUGUAGAAGCAACACUUCUUCGUCCCGGGGCAACGCCGAUCGAGCUUGCACAGAGAGCCCAUUGAACAUUUUCAGCAACAUGCUUGAAAUCUAAUUGGAAUUUCCCGUUGCAAUUAAUGUUGUCAUAACAAGAGCCCUAUUUCAAGUAGAAGCCUCCCACUUGACUUCAGCUGAGCACACAGAGCCUGGAGUCAUGACCUCGCGUUUUAUCUCAGCAAAAAAACCCUCCUCAGCUGGAGACUGCUAUGCCUUUGGGAGAAGCGUGGUAGCAGGGGCAGAAAAGUGAUCACGUUUAUUAAAAGUGACCUUGUGAAAUAAAUGACUGCCGAGGGAGAAACUGGAGCUGACACAGAGGGGGGAGCGCAAGUUCCUUUGCAAAGUGCCACCAGCGGAAGUAGCAGAGAGAAGCAGGACUGGGCACACCAAGGGGGCCAUCGCUAUGCUGACCUGACGGCGUCUCUGCCGGCCCAACCGGGAGCCCUGGAGCAGGCAUUUUCCAUGAGGAGUCCUCCCUCGGGCCGCAAGUACCAUAGCCUUACCCUGUCCCUGGCUGGGGGUCUCCAGUUCGAGCACCAAGGUGGUGCCUGAGAAGCACUCAGCUAUGCAUGUGCAGCUGGGUGAGGAGGGGCUCCUUGAAGGGGGUCUGAGCCGCACGGGUCCCCGUCAGGCCCAGUGCCCGCCUGGCGCCGCAGGGUGCGUGUCGCACCGAGGGAGCCCACGGAGGAUGGGGUAAGUGGGGCAAACUUGAGCACCAGCCGGUGUCAGGCCGCCGCUGCUCUUCCACGUCCCUCCGUUCCACAGCCUCCUUGUCCUUGGCUGCCAUCAGAGUCACGCUCAGUGGCUUACCUGGUGGUGUGACCGAAACCCUUGCCCUGAGGGUCGCCACCUUUCUCCCGUCAGGCCGGCUGCACUUGUCCAUUCGCGGCCGCACGAGGAAGAUGCCACCGAGAAACUCUGUGACUUUGGUGUGGGCAUCUUCCCUGCUGUCCCCUGACUCCGCUGGGCUUGUCUUUGCUGAGAUUCGGUGCAGACUUAGGAAAAACCUUUUCAGAUUGGUUUCACAGAUCAGCUCCUUAAGAGUCUACGCUCAGGGGCGCCUGGGUGGCUUAGUCGGUUAAGCGUCCGACUA